rnacentral:rRNA from 1 species
AUUGAACGCUGGCGGCAGGCCUAACACAUGCAAGUCGAACGGUAGCACAGAGAGCUUGCUCUCGGGUGACGAGUGGCGGACGGGUGAGUAACGUCUGGGAAACUGCCCGAUGGAGGGGGAUAACUACUGGAAACGGUAGCUAAUACCGCAUAACGUCGCAAGACCAAAGUGGGGGACCUUCGGGCCUCACACCAUCGGAUGUGCCCAGAUGGGAUUAGCUAGUAGGUGGGGUAAUGGCUCACCUAGGCGACGAUCCCUAGCUGGUCUGAGAGGAUGACCAGACACACUGGAACUGAGACGCGGUCCAGACUCCUACGGGAGGCAGCAGUGGGGAAUAUUGCACAAUGGGCGCAAGCCUGAUGCAGCCAUGCCGCGUGUAUGAAGAAGGCCUUCGGGUUGUAAAGUACUUUCAGCGGGGAGGAAGGCGGUGAAGUUAAUAGCUUAACCGAUUGACGUUACCCGCAGAAGAAGCACCGGCUAACUCCGUGCCAGCCGCCGCGGUAA